GAUGAACGCUAGCGACAGGCUUAACACAUGCAAGUCGAGGGGCAGCGGGGAUGAAGCUUGCUUUAUCUGCCGGCGACCGGCGCACGGGUGAGUAACACGUAUGCAACCUACCCUAUGCAGGGGAAUAACCACGGGAAACCGUGCCUAAUACCCCAUAACAGUUUAGAGGGCAUCCUCUGGAUUUGAAAGUUCCGGCGGUUAAGGAUGGACAUGCGUUGUAUUAGCUAGAUGGUGAGGUAACGGCUCACCAUGGCGACGAUACAUAGGGGGACUGAGAGGUUAACCCCCCACACUGGUACUGAGACACGGACCAGACUCCUACGGGAGGCAGCAGUGAGGAAUAUUGGUCAAUGGACGCAAGUCUGAACCAGCCAUGCCGCGUGCAGGAAGACGGCUCUAUGAGUUGUAAACUGCUUUUGUANAAGGGUAAACCUCGGGACGUGUCCCGAGCUGCAAGUAUUAUACGAAUAAGGAUCGGCUAACUCCGUGCCAGCAGCCGG
rnacentral:rRNA from 1 species